CAUUGUAAUUGUAAUGUAAUGUUGCAAUGCAUGGAAUAGAUAUAUUUAAGAAAAUCCAAAAGCGAAAUUAACGUGACUGUUUAUUAUGGGAUUACAUUUAUUUAUUAUAUGUAUAAAAUAUAAAUGAAUUUCCAUCCCAGGGCGAUUUAUAAUUAAUUUUUAUUAUGAAAUCGUACCUUGAGCAUACAUGGUAGGACCCGAAAGAUG
rnacentral:rRNA from 1 species